rnacentral:rRNA from 1 species
UACGGAGGAUCCGGGCGUUAUCCGGAUUUAUUGGGUUUAAACGGUGCGCAGGCGGGAUGUUAAGUCGGCGGUGAAAUUUUGCAGCUCAACUGUAAAAGUGCCUUCGAUACUGGCUUCCUUUAGUGUGGAUGAAGUAGGCGGAAUUUGUGGUGUAGCGGUGAAAUGCUUAGAUAUCACGAGGAACUCCGAUUGCGCAGGCAGCUUACUAAACUACUACUGACGCUCAGGCACGAAGGCGUGGGGAUCAAACAGGAUUAGAUACCCUGGUAGU